rnacentral:lncRNA from 1 species
CCAGAAACGUGUCCUUUUUCAAGUUGCAAAACCAGCCAAGGCGAAGUGGGCUGUUGGGAAAGGCAUUCAGGAGGGUCACCCUGGGGAAGAGCCCGGCAGGGGGAAGGGGCGGCGGGGGAGAAGGGCAGGAGGUGGAAGAGGAGGAGGAGGAGGAGGAGGAAGCGGAGGCGAUCGGCUCGCCGGACGCCCGCCCCGGCCAGCCAGCCCCGCACCGUCCGCGGGCUAGCAGCAGGAUCCGUCGGCACACCGGCGAGGAACCAACGCGGAGGAGAGAGCCCGGAGUUGUCCGCCUUCGCCGCCUUCGCCGCCGCCGCCGCUGCUGGUAAGGCUGCCGGAGCUGCGGCCGCCUCCGUCGCCGCCGCCACCGCCGCCGCCGCUGCUCGCCGCCGGGCCCCGGCCGGGGGUGCCGCCGCUGGAUCGCGCCCGUCGCCGCGAGGCUGGGAGUGGAGGAAGGCCGGCGCCGGCGCGGCCGAGGCGCGGCUGCCGCUCAGGGCGCGCGGGUGUCCGGGGGCCAGGUCCGAGGCAGCGCGGCGCAGUCAGCCAUUCAGGAGAGGCGCUUCGGGAGGCUCCGGCGGCGACGUGGAGGACGCGAGAGCCGAGUUGGGGAGACACUUUGGGGUGCUCCUGCCGCCGCCGCCGCCGCUGGUGCCGCCGCCGCCGCCGCCGCCGCUCCUUGCAGUCCUGCCGCCGCCGCCGCCGCCGCCGCUUCUUCGCUCGGUUCUCUCCUUCUCUCGCUUUCCUCUCUUAAUUUCGGUGGGAAAGAUACAAAGGCACAGCCCAAGCCGCUUCGCGCUCGCCCAGCAUACGGAGGAUCCCCAGCCAAGUGCCAAAGCAAAAAGCGAACAUGGAGAGAAGCGAAUGUCACACACACGAAGGGGAGGGAAAAAGCCAAAGGAGAGAGAGAGAGAUCCAAAGAAUUACAGUACUUGGAUUGGAUUCCAUUGUUUAAUGACUGCACCUAGAUGGCUAAGGAGAUUCCAUAAGGAAUAUUUACACACUUACAACAGAAUCCUAUGCAUGUCUACUCAAAACCCGGCAGUAUGCAUUCAGAGGAAUUUUGCCUCUUCCCCUGAAGGUUUCGUCAUCAUGACUUACACCAGGGGUGGACUGAAGAUACAACCAGAGCUACUAGAAUAUCUCUGCAGUGGAUCCACAGAUAUUUCUUACCUUUCUCCCACCUUUAAAUGA